rnacentral:rRNA from 1 species
AUUGAACGCUGGCGGCAUGCCUUACACAUGCAAGUCGAACGGCAGCACGGGAGCUUGCUCCUGGUGGCGAGUGGCGAACGGGUGAGUAAUACAUCGGAACGUACCCUGAAGUGGGGGAUAACGUAGCGAAAGUUACGCUAAUACCGCAUAUUCUGUGAGCAGGAAAGAGGGGGAUCGCAAGACCUCUUGCUUUAGGAGCGGCCGAUGUCGGAUUAGCUAGUUGGUGAGGUAAAGGCUCACCAAGGCGACGAUCCGUAGCGGGUCUGAGAGGAUGAUCCGCCACACUGGGACUGAGACACGGCCCAGACUCCUACGGGAGGCAGCAGUGGGGGAAUUUUGGACAAUGGGCGCAAGCCUGAUCCAGCCAUGCCGCGUGAGUGAAGAAGGCCU